rnacentral:rRNA from 1 species
GGUAGUAACGCGUGAGCAACCUGCCUAUGACAGUGGGAUAGCCCCGGGAAACCGGGAUUAAUACCGCAUAAAAUCGUAGAAACACAUGUUUCAACGGUCAAAGAUUUAUCGGUCAUAGAUGGGCUCGCGUCUGAUUAGCUAGUUGGUGAGAUAACAGCCCACCAAGGCGACGAUCAGUAGCCGGUCUGAGAGGAUGAACGGCCACAUUGGAACUGAUACACGGUCCAA